UUUCCGUAGGCGAACCUGCGGAAGGAUCAUUCAUAAUAAAGUGUUUUAUGGCACUUUUUAAAAAUCCAUAUCCACCUUGUGUGCAAUGUUAGAUCUCGUCAAUCUUGGCGAGAUUUUUAUACAUCAACUCAUUCUUUAACUAAUUUGUCUGAAAAAUAUUAUGAAUACUUAAUUCAAAAUACAACUUUCAACAACGGAUCUCUUGGCUCUCGCAUCGAUGUAGAACGCAGC
rnacentral:misc_RNA from 1 species